rnacentral:other from 1 species
AGAUGCCUGGAUUGUUCGAUAAUCUUGCAUCUUUUGAACCUACAUGAUGACGAUUGGGACUCCUAUAUUUUCAGGUGGCUGUCAUGCCUCCUCCGAGUGGACGGCAAAAGCCUGAGUGCGGAAACCCGCUUAGCGAAGGCUAGGCGUCAAAAAAGCAGGAAACGGCAAUCCGGGUUUCUU